rnacentral:rRNA from 1 species
GACGAACGCUGGCGGCGUGCUUAACACAUGCAAGUCGAACGGUGAAGCGCUUUCCUUUUUGGUUGGUGUGGAUGAGUGGCGAACGGGUGAGUAACACGUGAGUAACCUGCCCCCUUCUUCUGGAUAACCGCAUGAAAGUGUGGCUAAUACGGGAUAUUCUGCGCCUGCUGCAUGGUGGGUGUGGGAAAGAUUGUGCCUUUGGGUGUUUUCGGUGGGGGAUGGGCUCGCGGCCUAUCAGCUUGUUGGUGGGGUGAUGGCCUACCAAGGCGGUGACGGGUAGCCGGGCUGAGAGGGUGGACGGUCACACUGGGACUGAGACACGGCCCAGACUCCUACGGGAGGCAGCAGUGGGGAACAUUGCACAAUGGGCGCAAGCCUGAUGCAGCGACGCCGCGUGAGGGAUGGAGGCCUUCGGGUUGUGAACCUCUUUCGCCAGUGAAGCAGGCCUGCUCCUUGUGGGUGGGUUGACGGUAGCUGGAUAAGAAGCGCCGGCUAACUACGUG